UCUAAAAUGGCAGAAAGAUGUAUAGGAUUUAAGCUCCUACCAGGGAAUUUUUUAUUCCUUUUAGAA
rnacentral:tRNA from 2 species